UCUCACAAUAUUAUCGCUCUGUCAAGACCAAUCAUGUUCACCAUUACACUCUUGUGUGUGUGGCUUUCACUGGGUGACUCUAUGGCAGAUCCAAUAGAACCACUUUUCCCCCAUAAAGCUGAGUUUCAGGGUCAUAAUGUUACUCUGUCCUGCAGCUACAAAGAGUUCAGUGGUACUGUGCAGUAUCUCUACUGGUACCGACAAUAUCCACAAUCCAGACCAGAAUUCCUCCUUUACAUCUUAUCAAGUGGAAUGAAGAGUGAUCCUCUCCCACCACGCAUGUUUGUUGAAGUUGAUGUAAAUCUUAAAAAAGUGGAUCUGCUGAUCUCCUCUGCUGCACUAUCAGACUCUGCACUGUACUACUGUGCCCUGGAGCCCACAGUAACAGGAAUCCCACUUUCACUGUACAAAAACCUCCUAUUACACAGACAAUAUUAA